rnacentral:rRNA from 1 species
AGCAGCCGCGGUAAUUCCAGCUCCAAUAGCGUAUAUUAAAGUUGUUGCAGUUAAAAGCUCGUAGUUGAAUUUCGGGAUCAAGGAAUCGGUCAUGCCUCGGUAUGUACUGGUUUUAUUGGUUCUCACCUUCUAAAGAACCAUGAUGUCAUUCAUUUGAUGUUAUGGGGAAUUAGGACUGUUACCUUGAAAAAAAUUAGAGUGUUUAAAGCAGGCUUACGCUUGAAUACAUUAGCAUGGAAUAAUGAAAUAGGACAUCAGAUUCUAUUUUGUUGGUUUCUAGGAUCGAUGUAAUGAUUAAUAGGGAUAGUUGGGGGGCAUUAGUAUUCAAUUGUCAGAGGUGAAAUUCUUGGAUUUAUUGAAGACUAACUACUGCGAAAGCAUUUGCCAAGGAUGUUUUCAUUAAUCAAGAACGAAAGUUAGGGGAUCGAAGACGAUCAGAUACCGUCGUAGUCUUAACCAUAAACUAUGCCGACUAGGGAUCGGAUGAUGUUUAUUUUUUAGUGACUCAUUCGGCACCUUA